AUACGUAGGGGGCGAGCGUUGUCCGGAAUGAUUGGGCGUAAAGGGCGCGUAGGCGGCCUGUUAAGUCUGGAGUGAAAGUCCUGUUUUCAAGAUGGGAAUUGCUUUGGAUACUGAUGGGCUUGAGUGCAGGAGAGGUUAUCGGAAUUCCCGGUGUAGCGGUGAAAUGCGUAGAGAUCGGGAGGAACACCAGUGGCGAAGGCGGGUAACUGGACUGCAACUGACGCUGAGGCGCGAAAGUGUGGGGAGCAAACAGGAUUAGAUACCCUGGUAGUCCACACUGUAAACGAUGAAUGCUAGGUGUAAGAGGUAUCGACCCCUUUUGUGCCGGAGUCAACACAAUAAGCAUGCCGCCUGGGGAGUACGGCCGCAAGGUUGAAACUCAAAUGAAUUGGCGGGG
rnacentral:rRNA from 1 species